GACGAACGCUGGCGGCGUGCUUAACACAUGCAAGUCGAACGAUGAAGCCGGAGCUUGCUCUGGUGAAUUAGUGGCGAACGGGUGAGUAACACGUGAGUAACCUGCCCUUGACUCUGGGAUAACUGCGGGAAACUGUAGCUAAUACCGGAUACGACCCUCGGAGGCAUCCCCUGGGGUUGGAAAGAAUCUCGGUCAGGGAUGGACUCGCGGCCUAUCAGCUAGUUGGUGAGGUAAAGGCUGACCAAGGCGACGACGGGUAGCCGGGCUGAGAGGGGGACCGGCCUCACUGGGACUGAGACACGGCCCAGACUCCUACGGGAGGCAGCAGUGGGGAAUAGUGCACAAUGGGCGCAAGCCUGAUGCAGCAACGCCGCGUGAGGGAUGACGGCCUUCGGGUUGUAAACCUCUUUUAGCAGGGAAGAAGCGAAAGUGACGGUACCUGCAGAAAAAGCACCGGCUAACUACGUGCCAGCCGCCGCGGUAA
rnacentral:rRNA from 1 species